rnacentral:rRNA from 1 species
GAUGAACGCUGGCGGCGUGCCUAAUACAUGCAAGUCGAGCGAACAGACGAGGAGCUUGCUCCUCUGACGUUAGCGGCGGACGGGUGAGUAACACGUGGAUAACCUACCUAUAAGACUGGGAUAACUUCGGGAAACCGGAGCUAAUACCGGAUAAUAUAUUGAACCGCAUGGUUCAAUAGUGAAAGACGGUUUUGCUGUCACUUAUAGAUGGAUCCGCGCCGCAUUAGCUAGUUGGUAAGGUAACGGCUUACCAAGGCAACGAUGCGUAGCCGACCUGAGAGGGUGAAUCGCCCCCCCGGAACCUAGACACCGGUCCGACUCCCAACGGAAGCCACCGUAGGGAAUCUUCCGGCAUGGGGGAAAGCCUGACGGAGCAAAGGCGGCGUAGUGAUGAAGGUCUUCCGAUCGUAAAACUCUGUUAUUAGGGAAGAACAAAUGUGUAAGUAACUAUCCACGUCUUGACGGUACCUAAUCAGAAAGCCACGGCUAACUACGUG